rnacentral:rRNA from 1 species
AGCCUGCCCAGUGACUCUGUUCAACGGCCGCGGUAUCCUAACCGUGCGAAGGUAGCGUAAUCACUUGUUCUUUAAAUGAGGACUAGUAUGAAUGGCACCACGAAGGUUAUACUGUCUCUUCUUUCCAAUCAGUGAAACUAAUCUCCCCGUGAAGAAGCGAGGAUGUAAAUAUAAGACGAGAAGACCCUAUGGAGCUUUAAACCACGCAACACCUGCUUUGACUUAACNUAAAUUUCAGAAAACCCCUCUCCACCCCAGCAGAAUGAUUGCCAGUUUUAGGUUGGGGUGACCGCGGAGCAAAAAACAACCUCCACAUUGAAAGGGCACCUACCCNUUAGCCAAGAGCCACACCUCCACGCACCAAUAAAAUGACAUUAAUUGACCCAAUAUAUUGAUCAACGAACCAAGUUACCCUAGGGAUAACAGCGCAAUCCACUUCAAGAGCCCCUAUCGACAAGUGGGUUUACGACCUCGAUGUUGGAUCAGGGUAUCCCGGUGGUGCAGCCGCUACCAAAGGU